GAAAUAUCCAUUGUUUAAUGAGAUAGGUCAACUAAUAGUGAGACAAAAUUUUAAUCUAAGUAGGUUAUCUAAUAGUGGGAUGGAGGAAGUAUUAUUUUAUUGAACUAGACUUGUUAUACAUGCAGUUUACAGAAAAUGGUGAAUUUCACAUGAAACUCUACUCUGGACAAAGACGAGCAUGUUGUUUUAAUUAAUGCCGAAGGUUCAACACCUGCUUAUUCAAAGAGUUGACAAAAUGGAUUAAAUCGGGAUACUUUCAGUAUGUGGGAGGAAGACAUAUGAUGUACUGUGGCGUGUUUGAUGAGGUGUGUCCGCGGUGAUGUUCUUUUACUAGACAUGUCAGGCAAUCGAUGGUGUCAUUGUGUUUGCUGUGACUUUGGAUGAAUUGCGAACAAAAGAGAAUCAGGGAGAUGAUAUUGCAUGUUGUUGUUGCACUCAUCUCAUGUCAAAGACUGUAUAUGAGGAUUAUAUGAAUGACUAAAUACAAGCAAGUACGCCAUGUUACUUCCUGGGAUCACCAGUUUUUGGCGUUCAGUCAUUGUUAAAUCGUUUGCUUAGGUUUUAAUGUUGUAUUGGCUUUAGCUAAACUGGUGUGAUUGAGAUGAUUGAGAAAAUAUACACUAUACGUAUUUCAAAUUGUAAUCUUUACUAUGAACUUUUCAAGUGUAUUUUCAA